CACGGACCUUUCGGGGUCAGUGGCGGACGGGUGAGUAACGCGUAGGGAUCAAACCAUGGGUGGGGGAUAACACUGGGAAACUGGUGCUAAUACCGCAUGAUGCCUGAGGGCCAAAGGCGCAAGUCGCCUGUGGAGGAGCCUGCGUUCGAUUAGCUUGUUGGUGGGGUAAAGGCCUACCAAGGCGAUGAUCGAUAGCUGGUCUGAGAGGAUGAUCAGCCACACUGGGACUGAGACACGGCCCAGACUCCUACGGGAGGCAGCAGUGGGGAAUAUUGGACAAUGGGCGCAAGCCUGAUCCAGCAAUGCCGCGUGUGUGAAGAAGGUCUUCGGAUUGUAAAGCACUUUCGACGGGGACGAUGAUGACGGUACCCGUAGAAGAAGCCCCGGCUAACUUCGUGCCAGCAGCCGCGGUAAUACGAAGGGGGCUAGCGUUGCUCGGAAUAACUGGGCGUAAAGGGCGCGUAGGCGGUUUGGACAGUCAGAUGUGAAAUUCCUGGGCUUAACCUGGGGGCUGCAUUUGAUACGUACAGACUAGAGUGUGAGAGAGGGUUGUGGAAUUCCCAGUGUAGCGGUGAAAUGCGUAGA
rnacentral:rRNA from 1 species